GACGAACGCUGGCGGCGUGCUUAACACAUGCAAGUCGAACGCUGAUGACCUGGCUUUUGUUGGGUUGGAUGAGUGGCGAACGGGUGAGUAACACGUGAGUAACCUGCCCUCUUCUUUGGGAUAACGCCCGGAAACGGGUGCUAAUACUGGAUAUUCACUGGCCUUCGCAUGGGGGUUGGUGGAAAGGUUUGUUCUGGUGGGGGAUGGGCUCGCGGCCUAUCAGCUUGUUGGUGGGGUGAUGGCCUACCAAGGCUUUGACGGGUAGCCGGCCUGAGAGGGUGACCGGUCACAUUGGGACUGAGAUACGGCCCAGACUCCUACGGGAGGCAGCAGUGGGGAAUAUUGCACAAUGGGCGAAAGCCUGAUGCAGCGACGCCGCGUGAGGGAUGGAGGCCUUCGGGCUGUAAACCUCUUUCGCUCAUGGUCAAGCCGCAACUGUGGGUUGUGGUGAGGGUAGUGGGUAAAGAAGCGCCGGCUAACUACGUGCCAGCAGCCGCGGUAAUACGUAGGGCGCGAGCGUUGUCCGGAAUUAUUGGGCGUAAAGGGCUUGUAGGCGGUUGGUCGCGUCUGCCGUGAAAUUCUCUGGCUUAACUGGGGGCGUGCGGUGGGUACGGGCUGACUUGAGUGCGGUAGGGGAGACUGGAACUCCUGGUGUAGCGGUGGAAUGCGCAGAUAUCAGGAAGAACACCGGUGGCGAAGGCGGGUCUCUGGGCCGUUACUGACGCUGAGGAGCGAAAGCGUGGGGAGCGAACAGG
rnacentral:rRNA from 1 species